rnacentral:rRNA from 1 species
UACGAAGGGGGCUAGCGUUGCUCGGAAUCACUGGGCGUAAAGGGUGCGUAGGCGGGUCUUUAAGUCAGGGGUGAAAUCCUGGAGCUCAACUCCAGAACUGCCUUUGAUACUGAGGAUCUUGAGUUCGGGAGAGGUGAGUGGAACUGCGAGUGUAGAGGUGAAAUUCGUAGAUAUUCGCAAGAACACCCGUGGCGAAAGCGGCGCGGCUGGAC